GUCGAACGAUGAAGCCCUUCGGGGUGGAUUAGUGGCGAACGGGUGAGUAACACGUGGGCAAUCUGCCCUUCACUCUGGGACAAGCCCUGGAAACGGGGUCUAAUACCGGAUAACACUCCUGCCUGCAUGGGCGGGGGUUAAAAGCUCCGGCGGUGAAGGAUGAGCCCGCGGCCUAUCAGCUUGUUGGUGGGGUAAUGGCCCACCAAGGCGACGACGGGUAGCCGGCCUGAGAGGGCGACCGGCCACACUGGGACUGAGACACGGCCCAGACUCCUACGGGAGGCAGCAGUGGGGAAUAUUGCACAAUGGGCGAAAGCCUGAUGCAGCGACGCCGCGUGAGGGAUGACGGCCUUCGGGUUGUAAACCUCUUUCAGCAGGGAAGAAGCGAAAGUGACGGUACCUGCAGAAGAAGCGCCGGCUAACUACGUGCCAGCAGCCGCGGUAAUACGUAGGGCGCAAGCGUUGUCCGGAAUUAUUGGGCGUAAAGAGCUCGUAGGCGGCUUGUCGCGUCGGAUGUGAAAGCCCGGGGCUUAACCCCGGGUCUGCAUUCGAUACGGGCAGGCUAGAGUGUGGUAGGGGAGAUCGGAAUUCCUGGUGUAGCGGUGAAAUGCGCAGAUAUCAGGAGGAACACCGGUGGCGAAGGCGGAUCUCUGGGCCAUUACUGACGCUGAGGAGCGAAAGCGUGGGGAGCGAACAGGAUUAGAUACCCUGGUAGUCCACGCCGUAAACGUUGGGAACUAGGUGUUGGCGA
rnacentral:rRNA from 1 species